rnacentral:rRNA from 1 species
UACGGAGGGUGCAAACGUUGCUCGGAAUCAUUGGGCGUAAAGCGCACGUAGGUGGCUUGUUAAGUCGGGUGUGAAAUCCCUAGGCUCAACCCAGGAAGUGCACUCGAAACUGGCGAGCUUGAGUACUGAAGAGGGUCGCGGAAUUCCCGGUGUAGAGGUGAAAUUCGUAGAUAUCGGGAGGAACACCAGUGGCGAAGGCGGCUGUCUGGGCCAGUUCUGACGCUGAGGCGCGAAAGCGUGGGGAGCAAACAGG